CCUACGGGAGGCAGCAGUCGAGAAUUUUUCUCAAUGGGGGCAACCCUGAAGGAGCGACGCCGCGUGGAGGAUGAAGGCUUUCGGGUUGUAAACUCCUGUCAUUUGGGAACAAGGUGCAUCGGUUAACUGCCGAUGCAUUGAUAGUACCAGAAGAGGAAGAGACGGCUAACUCUGUGCCAGCAGCCGCGGUAAUACAGAGGUCUCAAGCGUUGUUCGGAUUCAUUGGGCGUAAAGGGUGCGUAGGUGGCGGGGUAAGUCAGGUGUGAAAUUUCGGAGCUUAACUCCGAAACUGCAUUUGAUACUGCCUUGCUUGAGGACUGGAGAGGAGAUUGGAAUUCACGGUGUAGCAGUGAAAUGCGUAGAUAUCGUGAGGAAGACCAGUGGCGAAGGCGGAUCUCUGGACAGUUCCUGACACUGAGGCACGAAGGCCAGGGGAGCAAACGGGAUUAGAUACCCCGGUAGUCCUGGCAGUAAACGGUGCACGUUUGGUGUGGGAGGAUUCGACCCCUUCUGCGCCGGAGCUAACGCGUUAAACGUGCCGCCUGGGGAGUACGGUCGCAAGAUUAAAACUCAAAGAAAUUGACGGGGGCCCGCACAAGCGGCGGAGUAUGUGGCUUAAUUCGAUGCAACGCGAAGAACCUUACCUGGCCUUGACAUGCAUCUCUAAGUUGGUGAAAGCCAGCGAGUCCCGAAAGGGACAAUUUGCACAGGUGCUGCAUGGCUGUCGUCAGCUCGUGUCGUGAGAUGUUGGGUUAAGUCCCGCAACGAGCGCAACCCCUGUGAACUGUUGCCACCAGGCCGUGAUGAGCACUCUGUUCAGACUGCUCUGUGAAACGGGGAGGAACGGUGGGGGACGACGUCAAGUCAGUAUGGCCCUUACGGCCAGGCUGCACACGUACUACAAUGCCCAGUACAGAAUGAUCCGAGACCGCGAGGGUGGAGGAAAUCUCUAAACUGGGCCCAGUUCCGGGAUUGCAGCUGCAACUCGCUUCAUGAGCGAUCGCUAGUAUGCGCAUCAGCUACGGGCCGGUGAAACGUUUCCGG
rnacentral:rRNA from 1 species